rnacentral:rRNA from 1 species
ACUCCUACGGGAGGCAGCAGUGAGGAAUAUUGGACAAUGGGUGAGAGCCUGAUCCAGCCAUCCCGCGUGAAGGACGACGGUCCUAUGGAUUGUAAACUUCUUUUGUAUAGGGAUAAACCUACUCUCGUGAGAGUAGCUGAAGGUACUAUA